AUGUGUCUGGCCAACAAGGGCUUCCCCUCAGACUGGAGUCUGUCCUGGAAGGUGGACGGCAGCAGCAGCAGCAUCAGCUGGGAGGAGAGCAGGAACCCCGGGGUGCUGCAGGAGGACGGCCUCUACAGCUGGAGCAGCACCCUGAGGCUCCCUGCAGACCAGUGGAGGAAGGUGGGCUCUGUGAGCUGUGAGGCCACCCAGGGCUCCCAGACUCCACUCUCAGAGACACUGAGGAGAGACCAGUGUUCCCAGUCCUGACCUCAGCCACUGGGAACAUCACACUGGUUCUGUUCUGAUACUGUUCUCUGUUUGCUCUCUGAAACUCUCUCUCUUUCUAAGCUUAUCCUUAUUCUGAUG